GACGAACCGUGCGAACGUUGUCCGGAGUCACUGGGCGUAAAGCGCGCGCAGGCGGCAACCUAAGUGUCGUGUGAAAGCCCCCGGCUCAACCGGGGGAGGCCAUGGCAAACUGGGUCGCUCGAGCUGCGGAGAGGCCCCUCGAAUUGCCGGUGUAGCGGUGAAAUGCGUAGAGAUCGGCAGGAAGACCAAGGGGGAAGCCAGGGGGCUGGCCGCAUGCUGACGCUGAGGCGCGACAGCGUGGGGAGCAAACCGG
rnacentral:rRNA from 1 species